rnacentral:pre_miRNA from 1 species
AAUAACUCAAUUCCUGAGUUUCUGUGUCCAACAUUUGACUGUCCGUUUUAUUUGAAAAAAUUAUAAAAAAAAAAUUAAAAAAAUAAGUCACACAUAAAGUAUUAUUUAUGUUUUAUCAUUUAACAACAAUGAAAAUACUAAUUAAAAAAAUCAUAUAAGACGAACAGUCAAACGUAGGACACGAAAACCCAGGAAUUGAGUCUUU